rnacentral:rRNA from 1 species
GAUGAACGCUGGCGGCGUGCCUAAUACAUGCAAGUCGAGCGAACAGACGAGGAGCUUGCUCCUCUGACGUUAGCGGCGGACGGGUGAGUAACACGUGGAUAACCUACCUAUAAGACUGGGAUAACUUCGGGAAACCGGAGCUAAUACCGGAUAAUAUAUUGAACCGCAUGGUUCAAUAGUGAAAGACGGUUUUGCUGUCACUUAUAGAUGGAUCCGCGCCGCAUUAGCUAGUUGGUAAGGUAACGGCUUACCAAGGCAACGAUGCGUAGCCGACCUGAGAGGGUGAUCGGCCACACUGGAACUGAGACACGGUCCAGACUCCUACGGGAGGCAGCAGUAGGGAAUCUUCCGCAAUGGGCGAAAGCUUGACGGAGCAACGCCGCGUGAGUGAUGAAGGUCUUCGGAUCGUAAAACUCUGUUAUUAGGGAAGAACAAAUGUGUAAGUAACUAUGCACGUCUUGACGGGACCUAAUCAGAAAGCCACGGCUAACUACGUG